CCUACGGGAGGCAGCAGUGGGGAAUAUUGCACAAUGGGGGAAACCCUGAUGCAGCGACGCCGCGUGAGUGAAGAAGUAAUUCGUUAUGUAAAGCUCUAUCAGCAGGGAAGAAAAUGACGGUACCUGAGUAAGAAGCCCCGGCUAACUACGUGCCAGCAGCCGCGGUAAUACGUAGGGGGCAAGCGUUAUCCGGAUUUACAGGGCGUAAAGGGAGCGUAGACGGCAGUGCAAGUCUGGAGUGAAAGGCGGGGGCUCAACCCCCGGACUGCUCUGGAAACUGUACGGCUGGAGUGCAGGAGAGGUAAGUGGAAUUCCUAGUGUAGCGGUGAAAUGCGUAGAUAUUAGGAGGAACACCAGUGGCGAAGGCGGCUUACUGGACUGUAACUGACGUUGAGGCUCGAAAGCGUGGGGAGCGAACAGGAUUAGAUACCCCGGUAGUC
rnacentral:rRNA from 1 species